CCUACGGGCGGCAGCAGUGAGGAAUAUUGGUCAAUGGGCGCGAGCCUGAACCAGCCAAGUCGCGUGAGGGAUGAAGGUUCUAUGGAUCGUAAACUUCUUUUAUAAGGGAAUAAAGUGUGGGACGUGUCCUAUUUUGUAUGUACCUUAUGAAUAAGGAUCGGCUAACUCCGUGCCAGCAGCCGCGGUAAUACGGAGGAUCCGAGCGUUAUCCGGAUUUAUUGGGUUUAAAGGGUGCGUAGGCGGCCUUUUAAGUCAGCGGUGAAAGUCUGUGGCUCAACCAUAGAAUGGCCGUUGAAACUGGGUGUCUUGAGUAUAUUAGAGGCAUGCGGAAUGCGUGGUGUAGCGGUGAAAUGCUUAGAUAUCACGCAGAACCCCGAUUGCGAAGGCAGCCUGCCAAGCCAUGACUGACGCUGAUGCACGAAAGCGUGGGGAUCAAACAGGAUUAGAUACCCCUGUAGUC
rnacentral:rRNA from 1 species